CUUCCUGCAGUCGACGCGAAAGGGGGGCAACCCCCGAGUAGAGUGGCGAACGGGUGAGUAAUACAUCGGAACGUACCCAGUAGCGGGGGAUAACCUCUCGAAAGAGAGGCUAAUACCGCAUACGACCUACGGGUGAAAGAGGGGGAUCGCAAGACCUCUCACUAUUGGAGCGGCCGAUGUCGGAUUAGCUAGUUGGUGGGGUAAUGGCCUACCAAGGCGACGAUCCGUAGCUGGUCUGAGAGGACGGCCAGCCACACUGGAACUGAGACACGGUCCAGACUCCUACGGGAGGCAGCAGUGGGGAAUUUUGGACAAUGGGCGAAAGCCUGAUCCAGCCAUGCCGCGUGAGUGAAGAAGGCCUUCGGGUUGUAAAGCUCUUUCGGCUGGGACGAAAAGGUUCGUGCUAACACCACGGAUCCAUGACGGUACCAGCAGAAGAAGCACCGGCUAACUACGUGCCAGCAGCCGCGGUAAUACGUAGGGUGCAGGCGUUAAUCGGAAUUACUGGGCGUAAAGCGUGCGCAGGCGGUUUGCUAAGACAGGUGUGAAAUCCCCGGGCUUAACCUGGGAACUGCGCUUGUAACUGGCAAGCUAGAGUGUGGCAGAGGGGGGUGGAAUUCCACGUGUAGCAGUGAAAUGCGUAGAGAUGUGGAGGAACACCGAUGGCGAAGGCAGCCCCCUGGGCUAACACUGACGCUCAUGCACGAAAGCGUGGGGAGCAAACAGGAUUAGAUACCCUGGUAGUCCACGCCCUAAACUAUGUCAACUGGUUGUCGGGGAAGCAAUUCCUUGGUAACGAAGCUAACGCGUGAAGUUGACCGCCUGGGGAGUACGGCCGCAAGGUUAAAACUC
rnacentral:rRNA from 1 species